CCUACGUGUGGCUGCAGUGAGUACUAUUGGUCAAUGGACGAGAGUCUGAACCAGCCAAGUAGCGUGAAGGAUGACUGCCCUAUGGGUUGUAAACUUCUUUUAUAUGGGAAUAAAAUGUUCCACGUGUGGGCUUUUGUAUGUACCAUAUGAAUAAGGAUCGGCUAACUCCGUGCCAGCAGCCGCGGUAAUACGGAGGAUCCGAGCUUUAUCCGGAUUUAUUGGGUUUAAUGGGAGCGUAGGUGGAUUGUUAAGUCAGUUGUGAAAGUUUGUGGCUCAACCGUAAAAUUGCAGUUGAAACUGGCAGUCGUGAGUACAGUAGAGGUGGGCGGAAUUCGUGGUGGAGCGGUGAAAUGCUUAGAUAUCACGAAGAACUCCGAUUGCGAAGGCAGCUCACUGGACUGCAACUGACACUGAGGCUCGAAAGUGUGGGUAUCAAACAGGAUUAGAUACCCCGGUAGUC
rnacentral:rRNA from 1 species